rnacentral:rRNA from 1 species
GUAGGGGAGCUUCCCAUACGGGUUGAAGCAUGACCGUAAGGACAUGUGGACAGUAUGGGAGUGAGAAUGUUGGCAUGAGUAGCGAGAUGUGGGUGAGAAUCCCACAGGCCGUAAACCCAAGGUUUCCAGGGGAAGGUUCGUCCGCCCUGGGUUAGUCGGGACCUAAGCUGAGGCCGAAAGGCGUAGGUGAUGGACAACAGGUUGAUAUUCCUGUACUACCGAUAACCGUUUGAGAGAAGGGAUGACACAGUAGGAUAAGCUAAGCACACUGUUGGUUAUGUGUGCCCAAGCAUUGAGGCAGUCAAAGUAGGCAAAUCCGCUUUGAUAAUGCUGGGAUGUGAUGGGGAGCGAAAUUUAGUAGCGAAGUAGCUGAUUUCACACUGUCAAGAAAAGUCUCUAUCGAGGUUAAAGGUACCCGUACCGCAAACCGACACAGGUGGGUGAGGAGAGUAUCCUAAGGCCAGCGAGAGAACUGUUGUUAAGGAACUCGGCAAAAUGACCCCGUAACUUAGGGAUAAGGGGUGCCACCAUCAGGUGGCCGCAGAGAAUAGGCCCAAGCGACUGUUUACCAAAAACAUAGGUUUCUGCUAAGUCGCAAGACGAUGUAUAGGAGCUGACGCCUGCCCGGUGCUGGAAGGUUAAGGGGAUCUGUUAGAGCAAUCGAAGCAGUGAACUUAAGCCCCAGUAAACGGCGGCCGUAACUAUAACGGUCCUAAGGUAGCGAAAUUCCUUGUCGGGUAAGUUCCGACCCGCACGAAAGGCGUAACGAUUUGGGCACUGUCUCAACAACAGACUCGGUGAAAUUGUAAUUCCGGUGAAGAUGCCGGAUACCUGCGACAGGACGGAAAGACCCCAUGGAGCUUUACUGUAGCUUGACAUUGGGUCUUGGUACUACAUGUACAGGAUAGGUGGGAGGCUUUGAAACCAGGACGCCAGUUUUGGCGGAGCCAUCCUUGGGAUACCACCCUUGUAGUACUGGGACUCUAACCAUAGACCAUGAAUCUGGUCUUGGGACACUGUCAGGUGGGCAGUUUGACUGGGGCGGUCGCCUCCCAAAAGGUAACGGAGGCGCUCAAAGGUUCUCUCAGUACGGUCGGAAAUCGUACGUAGAGUGUAAAGGCAAAAGAGAGCUUGAUUGCAAGACAUACAGGUCGAGCAAGGAUGAAAAUCGGACUUAGUGAUCCGGUGGUUCUGCGUGGAAGGGCCAUCGCUCAACGGAUAAAAGCUACCCUGGGGAUAACAGGCUUAUCUCCCCCAAGAGUCCACAUCGACGGGGAGGUUUGGCACCUCGAUGUCGGCUCAUCACAUCCUGGGGCUGUAGUAGGUCCCAAGGGUUGGGCUGUUCGCCCAUUAAAGUGGUACGCGAGCUGGGUUCAGAACGUCGUGAGACAGUUCGGUCCCUAUCCGUCGCAGGCGUAGGAAAUUUGAGAAGACCUGUCCUUAGUACGAGAGGACCGGGAUGGACGUACCUCUGGUGUACCAGUUGUCCUGCCAAGGGCAUGGCUGGGUAGCUAUGUACGGAAUGGAUAAGCGCUGAAAGCAUCUAAGCGCGAAGCCAACUUCAAGAUAAGAUUUCCCACCGCAAGGGUAAGACCCCAGAAAGACUAUCUGGUUGAUAGGUCGAAGGUGUAAGUGCAGCAAUGUAUUUAGCUUAUCGAUACUAAUAGGUCGAGGACUUGACCAA